UAGGGAAUUUUCCACAAUGGGGGCAACCCUGAUGGAGCAACGCCGCGUGCAGGAUGAAGGCCCUCGGGUCGUAAACUGCUUUUCUCUGUGAUGAUUAUGACAGUAGCAGAGGAAUAAGGAUCGGCUAACUCCGUGCCAGCAGCCGCGGUCAUACGGAGGAUCCAAGCGUUAUCCGGAUUUACUGGGCGUAAAGAGUUGCGUAGGCGGUUUACCAAGCAAGGCAUGAAAUAGUGUGGCUCAACCAUACUGC
rnacentral:rRNA from 1 species